AGAUACCCGGGUAGUCCACGCCGUAAACGAUGUCUACUUGGAGGUUGUGGCCUUGAGCCGUGGCUUUCGGAGCUAACGCGUUAAGUAGACCGCCUGGGGAGUACGGUCGCAAGAUUAAAACUCAAAUGAAUUGACGGGGGCCCGCACAAGCGGUGGAGCAUGUGGUUUAAUUCGAUGCAACGCGAAGAACCUUACCUACACUUGACAUACAGAGAACUUACCAGAGAUGGUUUGGUGCCUUCGGGAACUCUGAUACAGGUGCUGCAUGGCCGCCGUCAG
rnacentral:rRNA from 1 species